CCUACGGGAGACAGCAGUAGGGAAUAUUGCUCAAUGGGGGAAACCCUGAAGCAGCAAUGCCGCGUGGAGGAUGAUGGUUUUCGGAUUGUAAACUCCUUUUGUUCGAGAGGAUAAUGACGGUAUUUUACGCAUACGAACCGGCUAACUCCGUGCCAGCAGCCGCGGUAAUACGGAGGGUGCACGCGUUACUCGGAAUCACUGGGCGUAAGGAGCGCGUAGGCGGGAUAGCAAGUCAGAUGUGAAAUCCUAUGGCUUAACCAGAGAACUGCAUUUGAAACUGCUAUUCUAGAGUAUGGGAGAGGUAGGUGGAAUUCUUGGUGUAGGGGUAAAAUGCGUAGAGAUCAAGAGGAAUACUCAUUGCGAAGGCGACCUGCGAGAACAUAACUGACGCUGAUGCGCGAAAGCGUGGGGAGCAAACAGGAUUAGAUACCCUGGUAGUC
rnacentral:rRNA from 1 species